AACGUAGGACGCAAGCGUUAUCCGGAGUUACUGGGCGUAAAGCGCGGGCAGGCGGUCUUGCCAGUCUGAUGUGAAAUCUCCUCGCUCAACGGGGAGCAGCCAUUGGAAACUACAAGACUGGAGUCUGACAGAGGUAGGCGGAAUUCUGGGUGGAGUGGUGAAAUGCGUAGAGAUCCGGAGGAACACCAGAGGCGAAGGCGGCCUACUGGGUCAGUACUGACGCUGAGCCGCGAAAGCCAGGGGAGCGAACGGG
rnacentral:rRNA from 1 species